rnacentral:rRNA from 1 species
CUUGGGGCGGGCCUACACAUGCAAGUCGAGCGGAUGAAGGGAGCUUGCUCCUGGAUUCAGCGGCGGACGGGUGAGUAAUGCCUAGGAAUCUGCCUGGUAGUGGGGGAUAACGUCCGGAAACGGGCGCUAAUACCGCAUACGUCCUGAGGGAGAAAGUGGGGGAUCUUCGGACCUCACGCUAUCAGAUGAGCCUAGGUCGGAUUAGCUAGUUGGUGGGGUAAAGGCCUACCAAGGCGACGAUCCGUAACUGGUCUGAGAGGAUGAUCAGUCACACUGGAACUGAGACACGGUCCAGACUCCUACGGGAGGCAGCAGUGGGGAAUAUUGGACAAUGGGCGAAAGCCUGAUCCAGCCAUGCCGCGUGUGUGAAGAAGGUCUUCGGAUUGUAAAGCACUUUAAGUUGGGAGGAAGGGCAGUAAGUUAAUACCUUGCUGUUUUGACGUUACCAACAGAAUAAGCACCGGCUAACUUCGUGCCAGCAGCCGCGGUAAUACGAAGGGUGCAAGCGUUAAUCGGAAUUACUGGGCGUAAAGCGCGCGUAGGUGGUUCAGCAAGUUGGAUGUGAAAUCCCCGGGCUCAACCUGGGAACUGCAUCCAAAACUACUGAGCUAGAGUACGGUAGAGGGUGGUGGAAUUUCCUGUGUAGCGGUGAAAUGCGUAGAUAUAGGAAGGAACACCAGUGGCGAAGGCGACCACCUGGACUGAUACUGACACUGAGGUGCGAAAGCGUGGGGAGCAAACAGGAUUAGAUACCCUGGUAGUCCACGCCGUAAACGAUGUCGACUAGCCGUUGGGAUCCUUGAGAUCUUAGUGGCGCAGCUAACGCGAUAAGUCGACCGCCUGGGGAGUACGGCCGCAAGUUAAAACUCAAAUGAAUUUGACGGGGGCCCGCACAAGCCGGGUGGGAGCAUGGUGGUUUUAAAUUUCGAAAGCCCA